GAGACACUAUUUGAAUCAAAAAAUUUCCUGUACAAAUCAAGAUAUACAACUUCAAAUAAAAAUAUAUAACAUUUACCAAAGAUUUUUUCCUUACAAUAUGAUUUGUAGAAAAAAAGUACAUACAUGGUAAACUAGUCUGGUCAGUAGUAAACCUAACUAUAAUCAGACAAGAACUCCGUAAAAUGCAGCAACAGUACAAUCGAUAGCAUUUCUUUCUCUUCCCUGCU
rnacentral:lncRNA from 1 species